rnacentral:lncRNA from 1 species
UCAAUUCAAAAUAAAUGUAUUGACAUGCACUUUACGGCAGACGACAGUUGGAAGUUUAUUUUUAGACUAUUGCAUUUUACGACGAUCGAAUUUCCUUGGGGUAUUGCCGCUUUCACUUAGAAGAGCAGACAUGACACCAAUGACGUUGACCAGAAAUCAUCUUAUUUACUAAAUAAGCUAGAUAACACUUGAUCUAAAAGGUAACAGAUUAAGAUAUUCUCAUUGGAGUACACGUAUGCAUAUAUUUUAUACAGGACUGAAGUUUCCU